CUUUCGGCGUCAGGGGUUGGGGAGGCGGAUUCGGGGGCGGGCGACGCGGCGGGGGUCGCCGGUGACGAUGAGGAAGGCAGGCGUAAUUUUCCCCCUGACCCCUGCGAACCCUAGCAGCCGCACCAAUGCCACCCCGCCGCCAGGCGCCAGCCAUCGGGUCGCUUCCCUGCGCCUCCUCGCCUCCCUCUGCUCCAGGCCUCCCUCUCUCGCGCUGCUAGGAGCUGCUCCUGGUGUCUAGCAGCUGCCUUCCCCUCACUCAUCGCAUCAAUCUCCUGCUCCCUCUCUCUCCAACAUCCCCCGCUGUCCUCUCGCAUCACACACAGGCGGUGGCUGUACAUAUCUGGUCGGGUGUGGCGUGUGUGGCAUCUGUGAUGUGCUUCGGGCGACCGGUUGUCCAUGCAUAGGAAGUGAAUGGUUGCAGGCAGAGGAAGCUGUUGGCCGUUGUCAGAGGAGGAUUAGGAUAGUUCCCUUCAUCUUUGUCAGAAAAUGAUAGUUCCCUUGAUUUGUUUUGUUCCGAAUUAGUACAAAAGUGCAAUGAUAUUUGUUUUGUGCCGCAGGAGCUUCAAGACAGCAGGGACCAAUUGCAACCUUCAUUUAUCUGUUCUGUGAACCAAUUUGUGAUGGCUUCUAAAUGCACUUGGCUGGAACAGAGCAAUUUUUUGGUAGUCUUCAGUCGGGAGAAGAUGGGUGCAGAGAAGAGUGAAACGGGCUCAGUCAGGUGUGAAAAGGAGAAUUUGAGAGAUAGCAACGAUGUGGUGCUGCACUGCUGCUCUCUUACUGCUAGCUUGCUACUUCUAGCUGAAUUUUGCUAUUUCUGCUAGCUGAAUUUUGCAUAGGCAUGGCGAGCUGUUUGAUUUCGUGGCAGGCCUGCUUAUCCUCAAUGUGUUCUGACUCGGAGUUUCAGGAUAUGCCUUACAAGCCAUCCAUGUGAGAUAUCCAAGGGGUUCAAGACGGAUUGAAAAGGAGCUGGAGUAGGUGGUCGAUUGAGGAAGGAGCUGGAGCAGAGGUGGAAUCGAGGCUGCCCCUACGUGCGCUAAGAAGCUGCCAGAAAUUAUGAGGUGCCUGCCAUC